rnacentral:rRNA from 1 species
CGGAGAGUUUGAUCCUGGCUCAGAUUGAACGCUGGCGGCAUGGCUAAAACAUGCAAGUCGAACGAGAACUGGCUUCGGCCAGGGACAGUGGCGCAAGGGCGAGUAAUGCGUUUCUAACGUGCCCCCCGGUUUGGGAUAGCUCGGAGAAAUCCGUGGUAAUACCUUAUAACCCCAGUUGAUCUAAUGAUUGGCUGGGCAAAGAUUUAUUGCCUGGGGAUCGGGAAACGUGCUAUCAGAUAGUUGGUAAGGUAAUGGCUUACCAAGUCUAAGACGGCUAGCGGGUGUGAGAGCACGACCCGCCGCAUCGGGACUGAGACACUGCCCGGACUCCUACGGGAGGCUGCAGUAACGAAUAUUCCGCAAUGCGCGAAAGCGUGACGGAGCAAUGCCGCGUGUGGGAUUAAGCACUUCGUGUGUAAACCACUGUCAGGGUUUAGGAAACAAGUGACCAGACCCAAAGGAAGAGCCGGCUAACUCUGUGCCAGCAGCCGCGGUAAUACAGAGGGCUCAAGCGUUAAUCGGAAUCACUGGGCUUAAAGGGUCCGCAGGCGGAUCGGUAAGUAUCUUGUGAAAUACCAUAGCUCAACUAUGGAAUUGCUCGGUAAACUGCCAAUCUUGAACACAGUAGGGGCCAUCGGAACUCUAGGUGGAGCGGUGAAAUGCGUAGAUAUCUAGAGGAACGCCAAAGGCGAAGGCAGAUGGAUGGGCUGUUGUUGACGCCUCAGGCACGAAAGCAUGGGUAGCGAACGGGAUUAGAUACCCCCGGUAGUCCAUGCCCUAAACGAUGCGUACUAGGUGCGGGGAGGUUCUGACACCAUCCGCGCCGAAGCAAAAGUAUUAAGUACACCGCCUGGGGAGUACGGUCGCAAGGCUAAAACUCAAAGGAAUUGACGGGGGCUCACACAAGCGGUGGAGCAUGUUGCUUAAUUCGAGGCAACGCGAAGAACCUUAUCCUAGGCUUGACAUGUAUGGAUUAGCAUAUGGAAAGGGAAGUAACGCGGCUUGCCGUGGAACAUACACAGGUGCUGCAUGGCUGUCGUCAGCUCGUGCUGUGAAGUGUCGGGUUAAGUCCCUUAACGAGCGAAACCCCUAUCGUUAGUUGCCAGCGAGUCAUGUCGGGGACUCUAACGAGACUGCCGGUGUCAAACCGGAGGAAGGUGGGGAUGACGUCAAGUCCUCAUGGCCUUUAUGCCCAGGGCUGCACACGUGCUACAAUGGCGUGGACAAAGCGACGCGAUACCGCAAGGUGGAGCAAAUCGCAAAAAUCACGCCCCAGUUCGGAUUGUGGUCUGCAACUCGACCACAUGAAGUUGGAAUCGCUAGUAAUCGCGUAUCAGCUACGACGCGGUGAAUACGUUCCUGAGCCUUGUACACACCGCCCGUCACGUCAUGGGAGCUGGUAGCACCCGAAGCCGUCCGAUCUCACUGGUGCCUACGGUAAGCUCGGUGACUGGGACUAAGUCGUAACAAGGUAGCCGUA